GUUAGGUAAAUCCGGCUCUCUUUAAGGCUGAGACACGACGUCGAGCACCUACGGGUGUGAAGUCAUUGAUGCCAUGCUUCCAGGAAAAGCCUCUAAGCUUCAGAUUGUAAGGAAUCGUACCCCAAACCGACACAGGUGGUCGGGUAGAGAAUACCAAGGCGCUUGAGAGAACUCGGGUGAAGGAACUAGGCAAAAUGGUACCGUAACUUCGGGAGAAGGUACGCUCUCGACGGUGAAGUCCCU
rnacentral:rRNA from 1 species